AUUUAGGGCAAAUCAUUUCAGCCUCCCCAAUCGCCUCCAUCUCUAUUCUCCGUCUCAGAUCUGAACUUGCCCCCCUCUCUCUAUCUGCAACUGCAGACUACAAAAUCUACAAGAAUAAGUUCAAAACCCAUAUAUUUCAGUUUAUCUAUCUGUCUGCAAGAAUCAAAAGUUCAGAAUCUAUUACCUAUAUCAAAACCCAUAUCUUUCAGUUUCCAUCGCCCGCUGCCCCAGUUCGGGUUCGCCGUUUGCAAUCAUCAGCCGCUGGCCCGCUGUCUCUCAACUCUCAAGCUUGCCCCCCUCUCUCUCUGCAACUGCUAACUUGGUUAGCAUGGGGCCUUAACAUUUAGGAAGAACAAGGUUCAAGAAACAUGCCUCCUCAGUCAUCAGGUGUCUUUUCUGAAAGAAGAGAGUUGAAGGGAAUAGGUGGAAUAGGGAAAAAGAAAAAAAAAAAAAAAUGGUGGUGAAAUGCGCAGUAUGUCGACACAAGGGGAAGCAAUGCAUGGCUGGAUCCUCUAUAUACGAACAAUUCUUGUGUGAAACCACUCACGCACAAUGUUGUCAAAAAUGUCUUCACUGUCGACGUCUUCUCAAGGUGGCUUACCAAUGCCGAAAUUCCUCCCCGCAGGGAUGCCUUGACUCGACAGGCAAGCGAAGUCAUCCGGGAUUCGGUCAAUGCUUGGACAAGCAUUGAUCGGAAUAGAGCUGCAGUUGCAAUUCGAGCAACACGAAUCCAAGUGCUUGAAGCUAUGGUGGAGGAGCGGGAUAGAAUGUUGGAAGGAGCUUGAAGCUCAAUGAUUCGGAAGGACAAGGCAAUGGCAGCUGUACAAAUUGCGAUGAAACAUAAAUUUGCAGAACGUGAAGCAAGUGAGGUUGCAAGGGCUGGAGAAGCCAGCUGGAACAUUUGCUACUGAAGCUGCAGCAGUCGCAGUUAACACAGGCUGGAGCUGGAGCUGGAGCUGGAGCUGGAGAUGGAGAUGGAGCUGGAGAUGGAGCUAAUCUGUUUUGCAGUCGAAGAUAUAGUUGUCAAAAAAAAUAGGUGGAACACAGGCUGGAGAUGGAGCUGGAGCUAAUGAGUAGCCUUAUGUUUUUGUUUGUUUAGUAAAGCUAGGUAUUCCUGUUCUGUUUUGCAGUCUUAGAGAGAAGAUAUAGUUGUCAAAAAAAAUAGGUUGUAAAAAAAAAAGAGAAAUUCAAUCAUUGAUAUGAGUUUUAUUGUUCUUA